rnacentral:rRNA from 1 species
GAGUCCAUAUCGACGGGGAGGUUUGGCACCUCGAUGUCGGCUCACCGUAUCCUCCUGCUGAAGUAGGCGGGAAGGGUUGGGCUGUUCGCCCAUUAAAACGGUACGCGAGCUGGGUUCAGAACGUCGUGAGACAGUUCGGCCUCUAUCCGGUGCAAGCGUUUGAUAUUUGAGGGGGGUCGCCACUAGUACGAGAGGACCGUGGUGAGCGAACCUCUAGUGUGCCAGUUGUCACAUCAGUGGCAGUGCUGGGUAGCUACGUUCGUAACUGAGAAGCGCUGAAAGCAUCUAAGCGCCAAACAGGCCCCAAGACUAGAUAUCGUUAAGAUCCGUUGUAGACUACGACGUUGAUAGGCGGCAAGUGUAAAGGCAGUAAUGUUUGU